GGGCCCGCACAAGCGGUGGAGCAUGUGGUUUAAUUCGAUGAUACGCGAGGAACCUUACCAGGGCUUAAAUGUAGAGUGACAGGGCUAGAGAUAGCUUUUUCUUCGGACACUUUACAAGGUGCUGCAUGGUUGUCGUCAGCUCGUGCCGUGAGGUGUCAGGUUAAGUCCUAUAACGAGCGCAACCCCUAUCGUUAGUUGCUAGCAGGUAAUGCUGAGGACUCUAGCGAGACUGCCGGUGCAAACCGCGAGGAAGGUGGGGAUGACGUCAAAUCAUCACGGCCCUUACGUCCUGGCUACACACGUGCUACAAUGGUAUGGACAAUGAGCAGCCACAACGCGAGUUGGAGCGAA
rnacentral:rRNA from 1 species